rnacentral:pre_miRNA from 1 species
AAAAAAACAAACCCUGGGUUUCCGUGUCCAACGUUUGACCGUCCGUCUUAUUUGAAAAAAUUAUGAAAAAAUUAAAAAGACGAGUCACGCAUAAAGUAUUAAUCAUGGUUUAUCAUCUAACAACAAUAAAAAUACUAAUUAUAAAAAAUUUCAUAUAAGACGGAUAAUCAAAUGUUGGAUACGGAAAACGAGUUUGUUUUUCUU